UACGUAGGGUGCAAGCGUUGUCCGGAAUUAUUUGGGCGUAAAGAGCUCGUAGGCGGUCUGUCGCGUCGGAUGUGAAAAUCCAGGGCUCAACCCUGGACCUGCAUUCGAUACGGGCAGACUAGAGUUUCGGUAGGGGAGACUGGAAUUCCUGGUGUAGCGGUGAAAUGCGCAGAUAUCAGGAGGAACACCGGUGGCGAAGGCGGGUCUCUGGGCCGAAACUGACGCUGAGGAGCGAAAGCGUGGGGAGCAAACAGG
rnacentral:rRNA from 1 species